rnacentral:rRNA from 1 species
GAUGAACGCUGGCGGCGUGCCUAAUACAUGCAAGUCGAGCGAACGGACGAGAAGCUUGCUUUUCUGAUGUUAGCGGCGGACGGGUGAGUAACACGUGGACAACCUACCUAUAAGACUGGGAUAACUUCGGGAAACCGGAGCUAAUACCGGAUAAUAUUUUGAACCGCAUGGUUCAAAAGUGAAAGACGGUCUUGCUGUCACUUAUAGAUGGAUCCGCGCUGCAUUAGCUAGUUGGUAAGGUAACGGCUUACCAAGGCAACGAUGCAUAGCCGACCUGAGAGGGUGAUCGGCCACACGGGAACUGAGACACGGUCCCGACUCCUACGGUAGGCAGCAGUAGGGAAUCUUCCGCAAUGGGCGAAAGCCUGACGGAGCAACGCCGCGUGAGUGAUGAAGGUCUUCGGAUCGUAAAACUCUGUUAGUAGGGAAGAACAUAUGUUUAAGUAACUGUGCACAUCUUGACGGUACCGAAUCAGAAAGCCCCGGCUAACUACGUG